CCAUCACCAAUAACAACAACAGCCCCACCACAUAAGCAUUAACACUGUUAUUACAACGGCUAUUCAUCAUAUAUUAGGCAGGGGUAGUCAUCCUUAUCCCACUGGAGUUGAGUCAGAGUAAAUAGGGCAGCAAAAUAAACAACAACAAAAAGCUUACAGAAUGUGAAGACAUCCGUGUGUGUGUGUGUGUGUGUGUGUGUGUAUAUAUAUAUAUAUACACACACACAUACAUACACACACACACACAUUUAUAUAUAUAUAGUGAAUGAGGAAGAGAGUAAAAGAAGGGAAAGAGAUACAGACAAAAAGAGAGAGUGUGUGUGAAAGGUUCAACACACAAGGAUACUAGAACUUUCACAAAUGAACUGAAGUUAAAGUAAUGCUGGUUGGAUAUUUCUGCAAAUGUUGAGAUUUACAACUGGAAACUAACAACAGAAUUGACAGAAACUAUUCUUUGGCACAAGGUUCGAAAUUUGAGGGGAUGGGGGUAGUCAACACCAUUGUAUAACUGGUACUUAUUUCAUCAGCCCCAAAAGGAGGAAAGGCAAAGCUGACCUUGGUGGAAUUUGAACUCAGAAUGUAAAGAUGACUGAAAUGCUGCUAAGCAUUUUGCCUGGUGUGCUAAUGAUUCUGCCAGCUCGCCACCUUAAUAAUAACAAUAAUAAUUCUUUCCACUAAAGGUACGAGGCCUGAAAUUUGGCAAGAGAGAACUAGCUGAUUACAUCAACCCCAGUGGUUCACUGUCACUUAAUUUAUCAACCCCGAAAGGAUGAAAAGCAAAGUUGGCCACAGCAGAACUUGAACUCAGAAUGUAAGGGCAGAUGGAAAGUCGCUAAGCAUUGUGCCUGGCAUGCUAAUGAUUCUGCCAGC